rnacentral:rRNA from 1 species
GAUGAACGCUGGCGGCGUGCCUAAUACAUGCAAGUCGAGCGAACGGACGAGAAGCUUGCUUCUCUGAUGUUAGCGGCGGACGGGUGAGUAACACGUGGAUAACCUACCUAUAAGACUGGGAUAACUUCGGGAAACCGGAGCUAAUACCGGAUAAUAUUUUGAACCGCAUGGUUCAAAAGUGAAAGACGGUCUUGCUGUCACUUAUAGAUGGAUCCGCGCUGCAUUAGCUAGUUGGUAAGGUAACGGCUUACCAAGGCAACGAUGCAUAGCCGACCUGAGAGGGUGAUCGGCCACACUGGAACUGAGACACGGUCCAGACUCCUACGGGAGGCAGCAGUAGGGAAUCUUCCGCAAUGGGCGAAAGCCUGACGGAGCAACGCCGCGUGAGUGAUGAAGGUCUUCGGAUCGUAAAACUCUGUUAUUAGGGAAGAACAUAUGUGUAAGUAACUGUGCACAUCUUGACGGUACCUAAUCAGAAAGCCACGGCUAACUACGUGCCAGCAGCCGCGGUAAUACGUAGGUGGCAAGCGUUAUCCGGAAUUAUUGGGCGUAAAGCGCGCGUAGGCGGUUUUUUAAGUCUGAUGUGAAAGCCCACGGCUCAACCGUGGAGGGUCAUUGGAAACUGGAAAACUUGAGUGCAGAAGAGGAAAGUGGAAUUCCAUGUGUAGCGGUGAAAUGCGCAGAGAUAUGGAGGAACACCAGUGGUGAAGGCGACUUUCUGGUCUGUAACUGACGCUGAUGUGCGAAAGCGUGGGGAUCAAACAGGAUUAGAUACCCUGGUAGUCCACGCCGUAAACGAUGAGUGCUAAGUGUUAGGGGGUUUCCGCCCCUUAGUGCUGCAGCUAACGCAUUAAGCACUCCGCCUGGGGAGUACGACCGCAAGGUUGAAACUCAAAGGAAUUGACGGGGACCCGCACAAGCGGUGGAGCAUGUGGUUUAAUUCGAAGCAACGCGAAGAACCUUACCAAAUCUUGACAUCCUUUGACAACUCUAGAGAUAGAGCUUUCCCCUUCGGGGGACAAAGUGACAGGUGGUGCAUGGUUGUCGUCAGCUCGUGUCGUGAGAUGUUGGGUUAAGUCCCGCAACGAGCGCAACCCUUAAGCUUAGUUGCCAUCAUUAAGUUGGGCACUCUAAGUUGACUGCCGGUGACAAACCGGAGGAAGGUGGGGAUGACGUCAAAUCAUCAUGCCCCUUAUGAUUUGGGCUACACACGUGCUACAAUGGACAAUACAAAGGGCAGCGAAACCGCGAGGUCAAGCAAAUCCCAUAAAGUUGUUCUCAGUUCGGAUUGUAGUCUGCAACUCGACUACAUGAAGCUGGAAUCGCUAGUAAUCGUAGAUCAGCAUGCUACGGUGAAUACGUUCCCGGGUCU